rnacentral:pre_miRNA from 1 species
UCGGGGGCCAUACUACGUAGCCUGGAGCAGGUGAGGGCAAGGAGAGCCAGGGCGAAGGGGCUAGUGUGGAAGAGC